AGAGUUUGAUCAGGGCUCAGGAUCAACGCUGGCGGCGUGCAUGGGACAUGCAAGUCGAACGGACGGCAUCGGGCUUGCCUGGUGUCGUUAGUGGCGGACGGCUGAGUAACGCGUAGGUGACCUGCCCCGAAGUGGGGAAUAACUGCCCGAAAGGGUGGCUAAUACCGCAUGUGGUGAUGCGUUCAUUCGCAUCAGUAAAGCCGCAAGGCGCUUCGGGAGGGGCCUGCGUCCGAUUAGCUCGUUGGUGGGGUAACGGCUCACCAAGGCGACGAUCGGUAGGUGGUCUGAGAGGACGAUCACCCAGACUGGGACUGAGACACGGCCCAGACUCCUACGGGAGGCAGCAGUCGGGAAUUUUGCGCAAUGGACGAAAGUCUGACGCAGCAACGCCGCGUGAGGGAUGACGGCCUUCGGGUUGUAAACCUCUUUUGUCAGGGACGAUGAUGACGGUACCUGACGAAUAAGCCACGGCUAACUACGUGCCAGCCGCCGCGGUAAUU
rnacentral:rRNA from 1 species